rnacentral:miRNA from 1 species
UCACUGGGUAAAGUUUGUCCCA